UGGAGUUUUUAGGAAGAUAGCGGUGGUCAUCUUUUGCCCCCAGCCCUACCCAGAGUCACCUAGGAAGACCCCAGGGGACCAGGUAUGCAGUACAGGAGGUGCACAGUCAUUGCCACACAGUCCCGGAGUGCAACAGACAGUGGAGCCUCAGCAGGCAGCAGUGGGAUGAGCGGGGCUCCUCACAGGAACCCUUCUUUCUGUGGUCAGGAAGACGCUGCCCUUUACCGACACCUGGGGACCCUUCUCCGGCACUGUGUGAUGAUUGCUACUGCUGGAGACCGCACAGAGGAGUUCCAUGGGUGAGGAUGGGGCUUUUUCUGGGAGGGAAGUGUGCCCACAUGUCUAGAUGGUCGUCCUCAACCCUGGCUGUGAACCAGAACCACCUGAGAGCCCAGGCCCCACCCUAGAGGGUCUGACUUUGUCUGGGUGAGUGAGACGACAUCAGUGUGUUUCCAGAGAAUACUGGGUGCUUCUAAUAUGUAGCCAGGACAACAGCCAUGAAUUUGGGGGCAGGAAUGUGCCAACUGGGCCUUGGGUAGUGGCAACAGUAUGGUAUUUACUAGGGCACAUUGGUUCCUUGUCCCCAUUUUUGGUCCACUACCCCUAGGCUGGUCUGGGUUUCCAGAGAUGGUCUGGCGCUUUGGCUCAGACAGAGUGGGGGAGGCAGGGUGUCUCAGUGCCUCCACUUCCCCAGGAGACCCCACUGUACAGCUGAGUGGCAGUGCCUCUCAUAUCAGUCCCUGCCCUUGGCUUUGGUCCCUAGCGCUGCCCCUUUGGGACUCAGAUGCCAGCUCAUGUAAUGUGUGGUUCAGUGGGGGCACAAAGAUUGCACCUGUGCUGAGGGAUUAGCCCCUUUUGAAACCCUCACCUCCAUCUGUCCCCAGCCACGCAGUGAAUCUCCUGGGGAACUGCCCCUGAAGUGUCUGGAUGUUCUCUCACCCUGGAGCCACAUGGAGACUCCGUGGAGUUCAUGGGAGUGAAUAUGGAUGUGAUUCGUGCCCUCCUCAUCUUCCUAGAGAAGCGUUUGCACCAGGUAGGCUGGGGAUGGCUGUGCAGGCUCUCCCAGUGGCUCUGGCACUGGUUCUCGUGCACAGCUGUGGUCAGUGCUUCUACACUGUCCACACUGGUAAGUGGAGAUCGUCUUGGUGGUGUGAUAUGGGCGAUUCUUCCGGCUGUUCUGUGGUCCAGCCUGGCAAGAAGCCAGACCCUUCCUCCAUGAGAAGCAUGUGGACACCUUCCACAACUUGAAGGUUUCACUUCUUAAAUCUUGGUGGAUCUUUAUUGAGUGGUCCUGAGAAGCCCCCAGUCCUGCUUUUAACUCUUAGACACAGGCAGCCCUUGAUUAGAAGCAUAGCUGUCCCUCAGCAUCCUAGGAGACCCAUAGGAACCUCAGAUCAAAGCUUCCCUCUGAUUCCUGUGACUGCACUACAGGGCAUCUGGACAGCUGGGGCUCAACAUCUUCCAGGAGCUUGCAGAAAGCAGGCUGGAAUACAAUAAACCGAGAUUUAGUAGACCUCCUGGGAAUCUACCUGCCCUAAGCAAGGACACACAAGGUGCCUGCAAGCCAGUCAGGAUAGGGAGCUGGCAUUGGACACACAGCUGGGGGUUGUCUGUGCCCGUCACUGCCACUUGCUGGUGCUGGGGUCCAGGCACAUUAUGCUAGGAGGGUCAAGAACUCCCUGCUCUGUCCAUGAAGUACACAGAGCGGGGAUUUGGUUCUCGUUCUUUUUGCCACCAACAUCUGAGGCAAUGUGUGUGCCAGUCUAAAGCUUUAAUUGCUUUGUGUUUUUUCCCAGCUCUGGUUUAUAGCUGAGGUAAUUAGCUUAAAGCAGUUAUUUCUCCCAAGUCACAAAGCUUCCGAGUACCUCUGAGUUACGCUCUAUCCCUGUCCUUUUCAAAAGUGACACAGACCCCACCACCCACUCUUGCCUUCCGCUGACUAACUGCAGAGGAGCCUCUUCCCAACCUCUGCGCCAGGACCAGCUGCUGUGUAUGUUGGUGGGAAGGGGUGGUGGGGAGGUGUAACUCUGUGCCAGUCUCAAAUUAGGCAGGGGCACAGUCCCGGUGACAGAGAAUCCUCUACAGACACACAGGCUGAAGGAGAGUGUAGCUCCCGUGCUGAGCGUGCUGACUGAAUGUGCCCGGAUGCACCGCCCAGCCAGGAAGUUUCUGAAGGCCCAGGUAUGAGGCUGAGGAGCUGGUGCUCCUGGGGGAUGUGGUUUCGGCCCUGAUCACAGACCCUUGGCUGCUCCGAGCCCAAGCUUAGGGAUGGCCACCUCCCCAGGUGCUGCCCCCUCUGCGGGAUGUGAGGACACGGCCUGAGGUUGGAGAGAUGCUGCGGAACAAGCUUGUCCGCCUCAUGACACACCUGGACACAGAUGUGAAGAGGGUGGCUGCCGAGUUCUUGUUUGUCCUGUGCUCUGAGAGUGGUGAGUUAGGGAGACCCAGGUCCCAGCCCACCCCACCUCAGCCAGGCUUGCACACUGACCUCUGCCUUGCCCCUCAGUGCCCCGAUUCAUCAAGUACACGGGCUAUGGGAAUGCUGCUGGCCUUCUGGCUGCCAGGGGCCUCAUGGCGGGAGGCCGGCCCGAGGGCCAGUACUCGGAGGAUGAGGACACAGACACAGAUGAGUACAAGGAAGCCAAGGCCAGGUGUGUGCCCCCAACACACUCUCGGGUCUCCACUCACGGCCCCCUAGUCCCUGCUUCCACCCCCAUGUGGACCCCUGUAGGGUGGGACAAGAUGACAGAUGGGCAAGACCUUCCAGAAUCAAGCACUUGUUGCUAAGUGCUAUCUGGGAUACCAGAAGGUGGCAGAUGGCAGGAGCUGGUUACCUGUGCCACUUCUGGAGGGAGGCCUCUUCUUGCAGUUGCCUUGCCCACCUCACCCCACUGGGAAAACAGGUGGCUUGCCUCCUGUCCUGGAGAGUCACUAACGCAUUCCCCACAUUCCACCCACUGGGAAACAGCAUAAACCCGGUGACCGGGAGGGUGGAGGAGAAGCCGCCUAACCCUAUGGAGGGCAUGACGGAGGAGCAAAAGGAGCACGAGGCCAUGAAGCUGGUGACCAUGUUUGACAAGCUCUCCAGGUGUGUGGCAUGACGAGGAGGGGCCUGCAGCUGGGAGAAGGGAGAGCUGACCCACAUCCUGUCUUGUGAGCCCCAGGAGGUAGGAUCAGAGGAGAGCUUAGGAUCCUGGUAUUAGGUUGCAUUGCUGAUGUUUGAAAUCACUUGCCCUGGAGGAAAUCCCCAAGGGGAUGGGUAUAUUGAGAUCAGUUUGUGCCCCUUUUACAGAUGAUAACUGAGGCCCAGAGAAAUUAAGAGACUGUCUGAGGCUGGGCGUGGUAGCUCAUGCCUAUAAUCCCAGCACUUUGGGAGGCUGAGGCAGGUGGAUCCCAAGGUCAGGAGAUCGAGACCAUCCUGGGCAACAUGGUGAAACCCUGUCUCUGCU
rnacentral:sRNA from 1 species